rnacentral:tRNA from 1 species
GCGGGCGUGGCGGAAUAGGCAGACGCGCUAGCUUGAGGGGCUAGUGACCGCAAGGUCGUGAAGGUUCAAGUCCUUUCGCCCGCACCA